CUCUUUCAAAAAUCAGAUUUUUUUUUUAUUAAUUAGUAUAUUUAAACAUUAGUUAAUUAAAAUUUUGAUAAUUAGAUUUUGUUACAUCCCCACCCACUUCUCCCCAAACCCUAAAUCUUAUUUCCUCCCCUUCCCUUCCCAAUCUCUCUAUCUAGAAAGCUCUAUGACAAACACUCGAAGGAAGAUGCGACGAUAAUGCUACUGUGGUGGAGUGAACGAUGCUACGGUGAUGUCGCUCACGCCACUACAAUGAAGUGACCGCUGCAUAUCAUCCAUUGGCUAUUGAUUUAUCUUCAAACGAUGUUGCUUCUGGUUCUUCUCCUAGCGCAAGCUACUUUGAUUCCACAAGAGAAUUGUCGGUGCUACAUCGCUCGUCAUCGACAAUGAUGCCAGUGAUUUUACUUUUGAUUUUGGAUCUGUCAACGAUGAUGCUAGUGAUUUAACUGGAGAAUCAAUGGUUUCCUUUUAAUUUUAGAUCUGUGGUUUGGCUGUGGUCUGCGGAGGUGAUGACGCUAGCAGUGAUAGUUAGGUGGAAGUGGUCCCUGGUGGUGUUGGUGGGCGAUGUAGCGGGUGCUUUGUGUGUGGGAUGGCAUUGGUGAUGCUCGAUCUCAUCGUGGUUGCGGCAAAUCGGAGUCAGAGAAGAGAAUGGGUAGUUGUGGUUGUUGGUGGCGACGACAACGGUGGCGGCGGCGGAGGAAUGGGACAAACUAUGUAGUGGUUGCGAUGGUGGUGGCGAUUCAGUGGUGAGUUGCGGUAGUUGUGUUGCAGGUGUUAAUUGUGGUGGCACAGGAAUUGGCUUUGGUUCUAGCAUGUUGGAAUGGCAAUGGUGGCGAUGAUUUGUUGGUGGUUGGGGAAAUUUUUUUUUUUUUUUUUAAAAAAAAAUUUUGGUUGACUGUUUUGUUGGUGUUUGGCGGCAAUUGUGGUUUUGCAACGUCUGGUGGAGGUAACGGUGAUAGUGAUGGUGGUUGUCAUGGCGACAAUGGUGGGUGGGAUGGGAUGGGAUGGGGUUGGAUGUCUGUUAUCAAUUAUUUGGUCGAUUGUAACUCAUAAUUGGUUAAUUUGUUAAAUGUGGCCUAAAAAUUGUGACCGUGACUCACAAUUGAUUAAGUUGUGAUCGAAAAAUUAAUCGUGACUAAUUAAUCUAAUAAUUUAUAAUGAAUAAAUGAGUUGUGACCAAUAAAAGUUUUGAUUUUAUGAUUAAUGAAUAAUCUGUG
rnacentral:lncRNA from 1 species